AAAGAAAUUGACGGAAGGGCACCACCAGGCGUGGAGCCUGCGGCUUAAUUUGACUCRACACGGGGAAACUCACCAGGUCCAGACAAAAUAAGGAUUGACAGAUUGAGAGCUCUUUCUUGAUCUUUUGGAUGGUGGUGCAUGGCCGUUCUUAGUUGGUGGAGUGAUUUGUCUGCUUAAUUGCGAUAACGAACGAGACCUCGGCCCUUAAAUAGCCC
rnacentral:rRNA from 1 species